rnacentral:rRNA from 1 species
ACGUAGGGGCCUAGCGUUGUCCGGAUUUAUUGGGCGUAAAGAGCUCGUAGGCGGUUUGGUGAGUCGGGUGUGAAAUCUCCACGCUCAACGUGGAGGAGCCACCCGAUACUGCCAUGACUAGAGUCCGGUAGGGGAGUGUGGAAUUCCCGGUGUAGCGGUGAAAUGCGUAGAUAUGUGGAGGAACACCAGUGGCGAAGGCGACUCUCUGGUCUGUAACUGACGCUGAGGAGCGAAAGCGUGGGGAGCAAACAGGA